AGCAAAAGUUACAGUUUAUGCCUUUCAAUGAUUGCACAUAAAAACAAUAGGACUGCAGGAUUUCUCUAUAUCUGGACUAUAUAAAUUGACAUCAAUAUCCGGCUCUGUGACUACCUCUGCUGCCGGCUCAGAGGCGGAACAACAAUGCCCCACCCAUUCCGUGUUUGUACCUUCUGCGAGGCGGAAAAAAGGUAACCAUUGCUCUGAGCUUAACCUUGGCAGUUAACCUUACCGAAGGGAGCCUCUAGGACUGAUGUUUGAGUGGAGCUCUGAGAAGCUGGCCCUCCAUGCCCUUGGUGAAAUCAGUGAUCUCCUCUUCAGUGAUGCAGUGCUGAAGACAAGGAAGUUUGCCUCGCUGUGACGAUUAAUACGCUGAAUCAAUACUUAAUUUCACAUACCUUGGCUGUCUUGACAUCAUCUUGCUUUUUGGCAUUCUGCAGCGCCUCUAGGUGGCGGCGUGAUGAAUCAUAGUCCACUAGCU